UUUCAACGAGUACUUGUUUCAAAUCAAUCUUAUGCCCAUUUCAAUAUGAAGUUUUGAUGUCGUCAUUGGUAUGGACUGGUUCAACCUUCACCAUGCCGAUAUACUUUGUCACGAAAGGGUCGUUCGCCUCAAUCUGCCAAACGGCGGAACUCUUGUCAUUUAUGGUGACAAACCUAGUACAAAUUUACAAAUCAUCUCCUGUAUUAAAUGUUGGUGCAUGUAAAUGCUCCACAAAUAAUGAGUGAUAGUUAGGUUAUAUUUUCCCUUUAUUUGUAUUGUUGGUGUAAAUACUCUCCCUCCUAUAUAAAGGGAGAGUUGGUCACUUAUUAGUUAGCUAGCUCAUUUUAUUUUCCAUAGUAAGUCAUUACUUUUCUACAAUGUAAUCUCUAGAGAGAGAAAGUGGUGGGUUCUCCCACCCAGGGAGAGUUUCUCUCCCACCAAGUUCUUAUGAAUAUUCUCUCUUUGUUCUUACUUCUUUUCUAUGAACUCAUCAUAUGUUCUUGAUAUUUUUGAUACACGAUUAAUCUCAAGAUUAUUUCUUCCGCACUCACCGUUCGUUAGAAAAAUGGGUCUCUACAAUUGGUAUCAAAGCCGUACCUUGAAGAUCUCACGAUUUGUUCAAGGGAACGACUCUCGUUCGGUGAUUAUCUUGUGAUUUUUCCGAGUUUCUGCAAGAAAAAUUUUUCGGGAUGCAAAUCGGAAUUUUUUUAUGAUGUUAUUUCUUGUUUGUAUCAUUUGGGUGAUUCUAUCUCAGCAAAAUAAAAAUGUUGCUGCUGCUGAUCGUUCUAUUAUUGCUGGAAAGAAUGAUGUUCUUCAUCUUCUUAUUAUUUUGUUGCUGUUGAAGAAAUGAAGAAAUUUGGUGAAGAAUUAUUUUUGUGGUCUCCAUAUUGUUGAAGAAAUUAUUCCAGGAGCUUCUUUAAUUCUUGGAUGAGAAGGCACAAAUUUAAUCAGCUUAUUUUUCAAGAGAAGUGGAUUUUUAUUUUUUUUCCAACAACUUUUCUUCACAAGAGGUAUCAGUUUCUAUUCUUCAAAAUUUUCCUAUUGUUAAUCUAAUGUUGAAGACCAUUUGGACGUAAAUUGUGUUUGUGAAAAGUACUUUGUCCUUUUAGCUCUUUUGGGUAAAGAGUAAUUCACUCUUAUUUGCCUUCCCAAGCAAAAAACCAUGUGGCUAUGACAAAUCCGACCACCUUUUGUCCCUAACAACCCCGUGCACACUCCUGUUUUUACCUUCCCAAGAAAUUAUUCCCUUCCUUUUAACCUUAAAAAAAUAAAUAAAUAAAUAAAUAAACAACUGAGUCUGCUGAGGAGUCAGCAGACCGCAACCUCCAUUCUUGUUCUGAACCACAGCCACGAGGCCUGCUGAUGAACCGCAGUCUCUACCCGCAAUGCCUCUUAGUAGCUUUGGACCAUAGUUAGCCUCUUGCGGAUGCUUCUCGGACCGUAGCGCGCCUACCGCUUACCAUCUUCAUACCGCAGCUCGCCAUCCAUGACCCUCCCAUCUGACUUCAAUUCGGACCAGUCUACUUCAGGGACCCGCAAUGGCUUCGUGUCUCGCCCCACAAUUGCCUACCCUUUACCUGCAGCCUAGACUCGUCCGCACCUAACUACUCCAUCCGCACCCAACCCUCACCCAUCCGCACCCAGCCCCCUCUGAUGCGUACCCAACUUAACCCGCAACCACCUUAUUCUUGACAUCGGAUUCCAUCAGCUCCUCCCUCCUCCAGUGCCCCCCCCCUUCUCCUUCCUUCUUCUUCCCUUCAGCCCUUCCCCCUUCCUCCCCUCUCUUCUCCUCCUCCCCUUUCCUUCCUCCUUCCACCUUUUCUUUCCUCCCCUUUUUUUUAAACCUUUUUUUUAGACUUCUUUUUAAUUCAGUUUUUUUUUACAUUAUUUUUUUAAUUACUUUAUUAUUUUUAGCCAAUUUUUUAUUUAGCCAAUUUUUUUUAACACCAAUUUUUUUAGCCAUUUUUUUAUUUAACCAAUUUAUUUUAUAUUAAAACCAAUUUUUAACACCAAAUUUUGCCACAACCGCACCUUUGGAUUGUCACAUUGGUUGAUUUCAUGACGGUUAUUAUUGGAAGAAUAUUCCUACCGCAGUCGGACUUCAUAUUAUCUUUGUGACGCUUGCACGGAAACGACGAUUGAUCACCAAAGUUUUUUCGCAUUCUUCACAUUAUGGGAUUUUAUGACUUGUUGCUUAUGAAUUUUGGUUGACGAAUCAUGUAUCUUGAGCAUGUGGACUUUAUUCUCUAUUGAAGACCACCUCAAGUGUUCCGGCACUGCAUUUUGGAUAUUUGGAUAUAUUUUUGGCACAACAGAUUUUCUCAGCACAGCUUCAGCAACUGUCACCCGCUUUCUCAUGACGACAAGAGUGUUUAUUUUACUCUUUCUCGUUUCUUAUCGAGACCCUUCAUACAUCUAAGGAGAGCUUCUCCUAGCUCUUGGUAUCCGACACUCUCCAUCCGAUGAUUUGUUGAUUUUUGAUAUCCGGUCAUUGGUUAUCAAAAAUAGGGAGAAAAUAUCAUCCGAAUUUGGUUAUUAUUGUUUGAGUUUGGAUUUUUGAAGACUUCUAAAGAUGAUUAGUUAUUUAGUGAUGCGAUGUGGAACUUAUUUUUGGUCUUCACGGAUAAAAUUUUUAGCAUUACUCGAUGUUUUCCGAUUCGGAUUAUUUAUUAUUCGGACUGUACCACAGGAUGAUUUUGUGUUCGCAUCCGGUUCCGAUCUUAUGGUUUCAUGAGUUUGGAUUUGUGAUAUGUUGAAGACGAAGAUUAUUUUGGUAAUGUGAUGUGGCACUUAUUUUUGGUCCUUGGAUCAAAUUUUAGGGCAUUGCUAGACCAUGUUUUUGGACUCACAUUAUUUUUAUCCGGACUUCAUGUUAUGGAUGCUUCACAUUUUUAGUAGGUUAUUCUUUGAAGAAUUUCGGUGUAUUAUGAUUCGAGAACUCGAGAUGUUUUUCAGACUUUUGAAGAUGAAGUGUUUCACUUAUUGGAUCUUCUACUUGCCUAUGGUGACCUCCUUCUUCGGGUGAUUAUGAUUGGUUUGAAGAUUUGGAUCUUAUCUUUUCUGCUUCAUUGGUUGUGCUUUGAAGCCGAAGACCUUCAUUUCAGAGAUUCAUGGCCAGUUUCAGACUUCAAAGACACUUUAGAGUUUCAGAGACAUUUCAGCGCUUGAGUUCAUUUAAUUACCACACUUGCUAGUCAAAUUACUGUAUUAUAGCCUUGUAUCACUUAUUGUAUCUCUCAUCAUUUGUAAUCAUUUAGGGAGAGAAUGUUGGUGCAUGUAAAUGCUCCACAAAUAAUGAGUGAUAGUUAGGUUAUAUUUUCCCUUUAUUUGUAUUGUUGGUGUAAAUACUCUCCCUCCUAUAUAAAGAGAGAGUUAGUCACUUAUUAGUUAGCUAGCUCGUUUUCUUUUCCUUAGUAAGUCAUUACUUUUCUACAAUGUAAUCUCUAGAGAGAGAAAGUGGUGGGUUCUCCCACCCAGGGAGAGUUUCUC
rnacentral:lncRNA from 1 species